rnacentral:rRNA from 1 species
ACGGAAGGCAGCAGUGGGGAAUAUUGCACAAUGGGGGAAACCCUGAUGCAGCGACGCCGCGUGAGCGAAGAAGUAUUUCGGUAUGUAAAGCUCUAUCAGCAGGGAAGAUAAUGACGGUACCUGACUAAGAAGCCCCGGCUAACUACGUGCCAGCAGCCGCGGUAAUACGUAGGGGGCAAGCGUUAUCCGGAUUUACUGGGUGUAAAGGGAGCGUAGGCGGAUUAUCAAGUCAGUGGUAAAAUCGUGUGGCCCAACCAUACCUCGCCAUUGAAACUGUUAGUCUUGAGUGCACGCAGGGAUGCUGGAAUUCGUUGUGUAGCGGUGAAAUGCUUAGAUAUGACGAAGAGCUCCGAUCGCGAAGGCAGGUGUCUGGAGUGCAACUGACGCUGAGGCUCGAAAGUGCGGGUAUCAAACAGGAUUAGAUACCCUGGUA